CGAAAUGCGAUAAGUAGUGUAAAUUAUAGAAUUUAGUAAAUUAUUAAAUCUUUGAACGUAUAUUACGCCCCUUGGUAUUCUAUGGGGUAUGCCUGUUCAAGCAUUAUCUAUACCCUUAAGCUCUGCUUGGUGUUGGGCGUCUGUCCCGCCUUCGCGCAUAAACUCGCCCUAAAUGUAUUGGUAGUGGUCUUUACCCCCUCCCGCGCAGCAUAUUGCGCUUCUUAAGGCUGUGGUGGCCUGUGUCUAACAAGCUAAACCCCCCCGUCUUUAACCUUGGAUUAGGUAGGGAUACCCACUGAACUUAAGC
rnacentral:misc_RNA from 1 species